rnacentral:rRNA from 1 species
CGUGAACGAUGAAGGUCUUCGGAUCGUAAAGUUCUGUUGUUAGGGAAGAACAAGUACCGUGCGAAUAGAGCGGUACCUUGACGGUACCUAACGAGGAAGCCCCGGCUAACUACGUGCCAGCAGCCGCGGUAAUACGUAGGGGGCAAGCGUUGUCCGGAAUUAUUGGGCGUAAAGCGCGCGCAGGCGGUUCCUUAAGUCUGAUGUGAAAGCCCACGGCUCAACCGUGGAGGGUCAUUGGAAACUGGGGAACUUGAGGACAGAAGAGGAGAGUGGAAUUCCACGUGUAGCGGUGAAAUGCGUAGAUAUGUGGAGGAACACCAGUGGCGAAGGCGACUCUCUGGUCUGUUUCUGACGCUGAGGUGCGAAAGCGUGGGUAGCAAACAGGAUUAGAUACCCUGGUAGUCCACGCCGUAAACGAUGAGUGCUAGGUGUUAGGGGGCUUCCACCCCUUAGUGCUGAAGUUAACGC